ensembl:lncRNA
UUGGUGUUCCCCCGGAUAAGCUGGAGGAGGUGGCUGGGGAGAGGGAGGUCUGGGCUUCUCUGCUUAGGCUGCUGCCCCCGCGACCCGGCCGGAUAAAGCGGAUGAAGAUGGAUGGAUGGAUGGAGGUCCAAGGUCAACACAGCCAUAUACCAGGAAGUUGCUGCUGACCAACUUCAUGGAGAUGCAGAUUUCAUUUUCCAACAGGACUUGGCAUCUGCACACAGUGCCAAAGCACCUGAUUUAAGGACCAUGGUAUCCCUGUUCUUAAUUGGCCAGCAAACUCUCUUGGCCUUAACCCCACAGAAAAUCUAUGGGGUAUUGUGAAAAAGAAGGUGCGAUAUGCAAAAAAAAAGAAAAAAAAAAAGAAGAUGCGAUAUGCAAGACCCAACAAUGCAGAAGAGCUUAAGACCACUAUCAGAGCAACCUGGGCUCUCAUAACACCUGAGCAGUGCCACAGACUGAUCGGAUCCAUGCCACGCUGCAUUGCUGCAGUAAUUUAGGCAAAAGGAGCCCCAAUUAAACCAGCACCUGUACUCAUGGCUCACUGGAGGUGAUUGGAAAUAAACAGUGUAGAUGACCCUAACUUUGUCAGGAUUGAGGACGUCGAUGGAAUUCUCCCACCCAUUCAGUGUCGAAGACUGAUUUAGGAUUUCAGUGGCGGAGAGAAACAGAGAGAAAUCACGGGAGCUGGACUGCCACUUGGAUUACUGUUUUGGAAGGAGUCACUACGUAUGUUUUCACUUCACGGCCACGAGCACUACUAGGAGGAGAAGGAGGAGACCACACCUGGGCAGCC